rnacentral:rRNA from 1 species
UACGUAGGUGGCGAGCGUUGUCCGGAUUUACUGGGCGUACAGGGCGUGCAGGCGGUUUGUUAAGUGCAGGGUGAAAGCUCCCGGCUCAACUGGGAGAGGUCCUUGCAUACUGGCGAACUCGAGGGAGGCAGAGGAAAGUGGAAUUCCCGGUGUAGUGGUGAUAUGCGUAGAUAUCGGGAGGAACACCUGUGGCGAAGGCGGCUUUCUGGGCCUUACCUGACGCUGAGACGCGAAAGCGUGGGGAGCGAACCGG